rnacentral:lncRNA from 1 species
CACACAUCUCAACUCAAAACACUCCUGAUCACAUCACCCACACUUAUCUUUUACGUUACGCUCUUAAAUUACUACUACCUUUUUAGUUAGCAUUUUAGCUUUGUUUAUAAACGAGCCCAUGAUCAUAAGGGGAUUCACAAGUAGAAUCUAGAGAAAAGAGAGAAUGGGUAAGAACAAUACCAAAUUCCUUAUGCAAUUUGCAGCUCUUGCAAUGGUUUUAACCGUUGCAAUAAUGGUGAAAGAAGCUACAAGCAUGUCCAUUUGUAACAUGGACACAAAUGAUAUGCAGAAAUGUCGUCCAGCCAUCACUGGAAACAAUCCCCCGCCUCCUGUCAACGAGUGCUGCGUAGUGGUUCGAGGCGCUAAUCUCGAAUGCUUAUGCAGAUUCAAGUUUUAUCUCCCGAUUUUACGAAUUGAUCCAUCUAAAGUCGCGGCUCUUGUAGCUAAAUGUGGUGUUACAACAGUCCCUCGUGCUUGCCAAGGUAUUUUCAUGUGAUUAUUGAAUUUGUGGUAAGAUCUUGAAAGUAAAGAAAGAGUGUAACGUUUUUUAUUCGCGCAGUUUGAAGAAAUGAGCUGAGGAUAGGUCUCUCUAUGGUGUUUUAGACUUCGCUGGAUCUUGUCUUGCAUCUGAAUUUACAAUGUUUUGUUAUCGUUAAAGUGAAUUUACAAUGUUUUUUAGUGUUCUGUUUCAAAUAAAUCACAAACUUUUAAUGAUUUUAGAUUCACCUUAUGUGUGUAGAAGAACCGUGUGCUAUACGUUAAUGAAAAUUGUGAAGUACUAGUUUUUUUGUCCUCGACGAUCCAAAACCUAUCUCACCAUCAUGCCUUUCUCCAUGGAGAGAAUUAAACUAAAAAAAAAAUCUGUUAAUAAACAGAGAACUGUUCACGUUUCAUGAUUAUAAAUCAUAAUUCUUGGUUCAAAAUCUGAUUGCUGACUUGUGGUAAUAGAAGAUAGACAACAUUCUCCGGUAGCAGUGGAUAGUGACACAAGCUUUCUUUAGCUCUGUUGAAAUUGGUGACUUGUAUAAUACGGAAGCAGAUCACAAAACCAUAGACUUGUUCUUACAUGACAAGAAGGCAGUCUUUUGAUUUGUACACAGAAAAAUACACGACUUGACAAAGACAAAACAAAAUACAACGACCAAAAGUCAUCGGUGAGAAAAAAGUCUCCCACAUUUGUCCCACUUAUUUAUACAUUUCAAUUCAAAAGACGACUUGUCUAAAAAGACCCGUGACUAAAUAAUAAGCUCAUUAGAUUAAAGGGUUUCACAAUAAAGUUGAGAGAAGAUUAAAAAAGAGAGAAUGGGUAGGAACAAUACCAGAAUCCUGAUGCAAUUUUCAGCUCUUGCGGUGGUUUUAACCGCUGCAAUAAUGGUGAAAGAGGCUACAAGCAUUCCCAUUUGCAACAUCGAGACAAAUGACUUGGGAAAAUGUGGUCCAGCUUUCACAGGCAACAACCCGCCACCUCCGGGACCUGACUGCUGCGCAGUGGUCAAAGCCGCUAAUCUACAAUGCCUUUGCCCGUACAAGCCUUUCCUCUCCAGGUUUGGGAUUGAUCCAUCUAAAGUCAGGCCUCUUCUUGCCAAUUGUGGUGUAAACACUCCUCCCUCCUGUUUCUAAGGUAAAUAUCAAAGUAACCGCACGAUUUUACUGUUCUUUCUGGAAAUAGAGAAAAGUCUUACGUUUGUUUUGUUGUUCCUUCUGUAACAAGCAGCUUGAAGAACUGAGCUGAACUGCUGAAGAGUGAAGACACGCCGGUAUGCGGUAUGCCGCAUACUAAUUUGUCUCGACCUAAUGUCUCUUAAGCUAUAAUAUGUCUUUUCGUGUUCUAAUUCGAUUAAAUCACCAACUUUGUAAUAUGAUUUUUCAGUUUCAUAGAUCUGUUUACAUGACAAGAAGACACUCUUUUGAUAUUUACACAGAAAACUACACGACUUUUGACAAGGAUAUAUAAAACAAGAUAAAACGAAGGUAAAACAACAAAUCAAUUUAAACAUAAGCAUUUCAAAUGGGCAUGAAGAAAUUAAAUGCGUGCAUAUGAAUUGAGUGAUGUACAGUAUGUAGUUGGCUUGUGCGGAAAAAGGAAUCAAAAAGAAAACCACAAAAUACACUAAAUUAUCAAUAUGAAAGCUUUCCAUUUCUGGGAUUUCGCAUCUCGAGUUCAUUGAGGGAAAUAGAAAAAAAAAACAAAAAAAAAAUUAUGGGAAAUUUUCUAAUUAUAAGAGAGAAGAGAAAUUAGGGUUCUUUGGACGCAGGAACGAGAAGAGAAAAAAAAAAAUGGCGCUGUUUUUCAGCCGAAUCUCAAAGCUCUCUGUAAGAUACUAUCUUGAACCUCCCAAUGUAAUACUUUCUUUGAUUCUUGGUUAGUAAGUCCGAUUUUUGGUUCAUGGAAAUUGACAGGUACGCAAGAACAAUGCUCGUUUCUUCUCAUCAUUGCCUCAGUCCCCAUGCUUGGUGCUGACCACUAAGAAGUUGCGAGAGUCUCCAGAGGAGGGCCUAAUCGUGCAUCAGAAGUUAUUCGACCCGACAACAGAAAAGAAAGUGUACAGCAAGGAGAAGAAGUAUCCCAAAGAGCUUCGUGGAGCUCCUCUUCUGGGAGCAUCGAAAGGUUGGGUCGCUUCUUUCAAGGAGAAAGACAUUACCGUGCAUCUCACGGAUCUGUACAAGCCUUGUGUCUCAUCUCCACGAGUCAUAUCAUUACCAUCACUCCGGUCUGAGUAUAAACCCUCAUCUUAUGCCACGGAAGUGUGUCUCUCUUCUUCUGAUCCUGUCCAAGACGACUAUUAUGUGGCUGCAAAGUUCAAUGACUAUCACGUAAGCGUAUGUAGGCCUCGACGGGGCUCUGAGUGGACUCACAACAGGACCGGUUACACUCUUUUACCAGCCUCUGAGCUCAUGUACUCCAAGAGAGACAAAGCCUUCCACUUUGCGAGUUUUAAAGGUCUCUACAUGGGUUCUCUGUAUCUCAGUAACAACGACGAGAUCAAGUAUAAAGAGAUACGCCUUAGAAACCUGCCUAAGAUUCCAGAGGCAGGUUGGGAGAUGUUGGAUAAAUGUUCCCUGACCAACCACUUAGUGGAAUCUCCCUCUGGUGAACUUUUUUUCAUCAAGUGGUACGUAUUUUUCGAAUUUUUUUAAGAGUUCAAAUCAAGGUAGAGUAAGAGAUAUUGAGCUACUUGUUUCUCUGUCUAGGUACACACAGUGUCUUCACGAAGAGGACGAAGAUGGGGAUUUGGAAUUUAUCCACAGCAGUACUAAGCGGUUCAUGGUCUUUAGGCAAGAUGGGACGAGCAAAGACUUUUGUUACACUGAAGAUAUUGGAGAUCUCUGCAUCUUCCUUAGCGGGAGUGAAGCCUUCUGUGUCACGGCAAGCCUGUCCCCCGGGCUCAAACCUAACUCCAUCUAUUACCUUGGCCCUAGACUUGGUUCUUACGAUCUAGCUUCUGGUACAAACAGUCCAUUCAAGUUCGAUCGCUUUGGUAAACCCUCACUGGUUGUCCCUUUCUGGAUCCAUUCGACCUCUUCUCUGAGUUCUAGCUAGGAUCUGGGCCUGCCUUGUACUUUUGUGUCUUGUGUUGUUCCUUUCUGGAUCCUUAGACUUGUUAGGGUUAGGGUUUGGGUUUGUGUGUGAUUUGGAGAUUUGAAUUUUCUAAUCUAUAUAUGAAGUUAUUAUAUUAUGUCACAAGGCCUGGAAUUUUCCAGAGGUGUUUCCUAAGUUCCACAGCUCAUAAUUUCCUUUGAUCGUUUCAUUCUCAAUGACUUUUCUUACGUGACAAGAAGACAGUCUCUUGAUAGUCUUACACAGAAAACUACACGACUUGACAAGUACAAAACAAGAUAAAAACGACCAAAAGCCAUUAAUCACGCAAAAGGAACAAGCUCUGUAAUUUACCAACCGGAGACUAAAAGUCUCCCACAUUUGUCUGUUUGUUUACACAUUUAACUGGAAUGACAACGACUUGGCUAAAAAUACCCGUGAGUCUACCUUGUAUUAGCUCUCACUUAUCAUUAACGUUGCUAUAUAAUAAGCUCAUUACAUGUAAGAGCUUCACAUAUCACAAUAGAGUUGAGAGAGAAAGAGUGAAGAUUUAAAAAAGAGAGAGAAUGGGUAAGAACAACACUAGAUUCCUCAUGCAAUUUGCAGUUCUUGCAAUAGUUUUAUCCGCUGCAAUAAUGGUGAAAGAAGCUACAAGCAUUCCCGUUUGCAACAUCGAUACAAACGACUUGGAGAAAUGCCGUCCAGCCGUCACUGGAAACAACCCUCCACCUCCCGGACCGGACUGCUGCGCAGUGGCCAGAGCUGCUAAUCUACAAUGCCUCUGCCCGUACAAGCCUUAUCUCUCUACUGUUGGGAUAGACCCAUCUAGAGUCAGGCCUCUUCUUGCCAAUUGUGGCCUAAACAGUCCUUCCUGUUUCUAAGGUAAAAAAUCAAAGUAACCUCAGGAUUUGCUCACUUCUUUCUGUAAAGAGAGAAAAUCUUACGUUUCUUUUGUUGUUCCUGUUGUAACACGCAGCUUGAAGAACUGAGCUGAAGACAAGCCGGUCUACCGCAGACUUUGUCUUGCCCUGAAGUCUCUACGCUAUAAUAUGUCUUGGGUUGUUCUAAUUCGAAUAAAUAUCAACUUUGCAAUGCUUUUUCAGUCACCUUAUCUAUUAUAUAGAUGAACCAUGUUCUACAUAUUAAUGAAAUGAAUAAAGUACUGGUUUUACGCCUAAAUCCAUUAUUUACUACUACUUCCUUCCUUGAUUAUCUAGACAAGUCACUGACCCCUUUUGCCUCUUCCCUGCAAAGAACCCAUAUCAUAAUAAUAAGAAAUGUAACAUAAUUCAAUCUUUUCACUAGAAAAGAGCAAUACAUAACAUUACUAGGCAUUUGUAGUCGACAAUAUUUGAAAAGUGACUGUACACAAUAUGAUAGCAUCUUAACUCUUAACAUAUUAAACUCUAACGUUGUCUUAAUCAUUACUACUAGGAAUUUAUUAGCAAUGUCGAAAUGUACUCUGUUUUUUUUUUUUAAUCAAUAUAAACACAAAAUCAUAAACAAUUAAUCUUCUUACAUUAAUACUUUGCAAGAAGACCAUAAUAAGUCUCCCACAUUUGUCUCUAUGCAACUUGCAGACAUUUCAACCCAAAAGACGACUUGACUUGACUUGACUUAUGGUCCAUAUCAUACUUAUGGCUGAACAAAAAAAAACAGACGACUUGAUGAGAAAGACUAGAGAGUCUGUAACCCAUAUCAUACGCUCAAUCUAACUUUCGCUUAGCACUCACUUGUAUAAUAAGCUCAUUAGAUUUAAGGAUACUAUGGUAGAGUCAAGAGAGAAUGGAUACGAACAAUACCAGAACCCAUGUGAAAUUUCCAGCUCUUGUAAUAGUUUUAGCCGCCCUGGUGUUGAUGGAAGAACCUACGAGCAUUCCCACAUGUAACAUCAACGCAAACCAUUUGGAGAAUGUCGUCCAGCCGUAACUGGAGACAACCCACCAUCUCCACGCAAAGAAUGUUGUGAAGUCCUCCAAGCCGCUAAUCUGGAAUGCAUCUGCAGAUUCAAGUAUUUUCUCCCCGUUUUAGCGGUUUACCCAUCUAAAGUCCAGGCUCUUCUGAGCAAAUGUGGCGUUACAACAAUCCCUCCUGCUUGCCAAGGUAAAAUCAAAAUACCAUAACGAUACUGGAAACCGGUAAACUAGUAGGAUUCAGAUAUGAGGUAAAGAAAGGCUUACGUUUAUUUUGCUCUUGUUUCUGUACCACAGCUUUGAAGAACCGAGGGGGAGACAGACCACUCUACAGCAGACUUCGCUCGAUCUUGUCCUGAAACUGAUCUGAAGUCUUGCAAUAUAUCUUAAAGUGUUCUGAUCCAAAUAAAUCACAAACUUGAAAUGAUCUUCGAUCAGCUUGUGUAAAAAAAGAAGAACCAUGUUAUAUACAUUUAAAGAAAACGUUAAAAUACUGUUAUUUUGCUACAUCAUGCCUAUCCUACUUUCUUGACUAUAAAAAAAACUAACUCAUCAUGCCUUCCCCGCGGAGAACCCAAAUCAAUUCUGCAAAACAAAAAAAGAGAGAAUCGUUUGCUUAUCAUGAUGAAUAUUGUAGGCACCCCUGCCCGGAUGUACUUAUUAAUCCGGUUACACAUUCUUGAUCAAGUGAGGUGCUUUUGCUGCAAAAUGUAUAUAUUUGAGUGGUAACUUGUGGUAAUAAUGGAGGGUAUACCUAGCAUUCUGGUUGGUUUUCUCGACGAGGUCCACCGAAGAUAGGCCUCAUGUAUGUGUCGUCGAACUUUCUCCAGUAGCGGUGGAUGGUGUACACAGGUUGUUCCAUCAGAAGGGAGAUACUAUCUUUUGCUCUAUUGAAGUUGGUGGAAGCAGACUCGUCAAAGGAAAGAAGAGGAAGCGUCGCAUCUUCCUUUGGGGAACCUGGCUCAGUACGUUUACCUCUAUUUCCGGUGUUGUGACUUGCAUCAUGAGGAAGCAGAUAGUUCACAAGUGGCUUUGUGAGGAAACCAAAGACCUGUUUUGUUACAUAACAAAGAAGACAGUCUUUUAAUCUUAACACAGAAAACUACAAGCAGGUCCAUAUACUAAGGAAGCAGCGUUCGUUUUACCAGUGUAGUAAAGAGGACAACAAUAGUGGUGGUGGUGACCAUGGCAGCAUUCACAGGAUCCAAUGUAACACCGGAGUAUGUGAACUUGGCACAUCAAACAUAUAAAAAAUGAGAUAUAAUGGAAAUAUCACUAAUCCAAUAAAAGCAACACCGCAAAGACCGUGGGAAUGUCCAAAAAAAAACCUGCUUGAAAGCCAGAGCAAUUGAGACAGCACCUCGCAUUAGCCCUGCCCACCAAAUGAUCACCUAUAAAGUAUACAAAGAGCAAACUUCACAACAGAAAAUUAUCCAUUCUCAGACCAUUAAUUGUAAAAUUUCGAGUCGAGCUGUAGUGAUUCUGAUAAUGUAUCUGAAAGAAAUAGAAGCUAAACCUGAUGCUUAAAUGUGAUAGACUCGUUUCUUUCUGUGUGUCUAUUCAUGAAAUUUGUUAAGAUCGAGAGCGGAAAUACAAACGCCGCUCGUCCAAGCAACACUAAUCCGGUUAUGACACUGGAGACACCCAGAGUACCCCCAACGCUGCACAAAGAUGAUUAAUGUUAUAAGUCUUCAUUAGGAAGAGAUUUCAGUACUUUCAUGUCAUCAACACAGCUUAAGUAACAUGAUGAAGAAAUAGACGAGGUUGAUAUCAUAAAUUCACAAUGCUGUGUUUUGUUUUGACAGAACGCCUUAAACGCUCUACCUGAUAUUCAGAUACGACUUUAUUGUACCUUAAGCUGCUUGUAUUCCACUUGGUAACAUCAAGAGCAUCUGUUCCAACAUACAGAAAUAUGAAUGUCUCCGCAAUAAAGGACAUCAUCGCAAAUAUAUGCCUGCAAAAUAGAGAUGGACAGUCAGAAAAAAGCAUUUCCUGCAAUUGAGACUUCAGAAUAAGAAAACAAUUGUCUGAAACAAUGCCUGGAAGUGAUUCUCGAACUCUCUGUCACAUUAUAUGAUGCAUAAUGCGACAUUAAAACACCACAGAAGAAAACUGUGAGAAUCCCACUUAAUGAGAAGAGCUGCAAGAAAACAACUACAUGGAGUUAAAAUAGAGAAAGGCUGCAUUUAAAUUCCAAAUUAACACUAAAAAGUAUGUGACCAGUCUAUGAUUAAAGUUGGAUUUAACUAGUUGUCUAUUGCAGUAAUGGAGUAUUACCUCAGCCAACAUAUAUGAAAGGUAAGCCAUUAGAACCAUGAUGGCGAGUUCGCGUGUAGUUGAAUGUCUGUACGCAACCAUUAGUUAAAUAGAUCAAUAUUAAGGCACAUUUUAAGAAUGCAACUGAAAAUUAUUGACAACAAUUAACUUAAGCUUGAGAUGAAAUUUUGUAAGUUUGGUGUACUUUUUUACCUUCCAAAAUACAAAGUUUUCAGGACAAAAGACGUUACUAGCCCCACCUGUAAGACAUUCAUCAUGAUAUGCUUCAAAUUGAGUAAAAAACUAUGCCAACUCAAUAGCUUACAGCAAUUCCGAGAAGUGUGCUUGUUGAGAAGAGGUACAAAAAGUUCCCAAACACUCGCAGAGCCGUCCAACCGUUUAGGCUUUCAAAAUGAAUCUUUUGCACGGCGUUGAACAGUACAACCGAGGUUGCAUCAUUCACUACUCCUUCUCCAAAGACUAAGCUGUAUAGCAAUGGAGUUUCAUCUUGAUGGAGAAUCUGUAAAAGUUAAGAUGCAAUGUAAAAAAACUUUUCAUAUAAACAAGCCCUAUAAGAAGGAAUCGUAGGAAAAAUAAUCAUUCAAAAGAAGAACCUGUAGAGUGCAGACUGUAUCAGUUGACGAGAAUAUCGUCCCGAUGGCUGAAUCAAAAUAAGAAAACAUUCACUCAUAAACUGACAAGUACUAACCAUCUAGACAUGAUAUGAAAAGAAACAUUGUUUGAUGACAAUAUGCUGAUAAAAGACGAUAGAAGCUUUGUGAGACAUCUCACCAAGAUAGUCUCGAGCACUCAAUCCCUUAAAUCCCAACUUGGGAAACAGAAACCAAGUCCCUGGUUCAGAUUAUAAGAUUGCAGAAACUCAGAUAUGAUAAAUUUAAAUCAUAAAACAAGAUUGAUUAUUGUGAAAUAUUUACCAAACGAAAUAAUGACAGUGGAGAUAAAAACUCCAAUCACCCCAAAGGACAUGAUGGUUAAAAAGUUGUGAAAGAACUUCUUUUUCUUAACUUGGAACCUGCCACAAACCAAAAAAUCUUCAGUCUAUCUCUAUGAUAACCCAUCAACACGACAUAGUUACCAAAACCAGAGUAAGCUUACCCAGCAUUGAAAAUUAUCGGAGGAAGAAGGUAAAUGAAGAAGAGUUCUUCAUCAAACACCAAAAUGUGUGAACUUUUUCCUUUACUAAUAAGCAAGAUCACUGUUCCUGAUAAUGCUCCCUGUUUACAACAAAACAAUCAAAAAUAGUGACAAAAUUGUUCUUUACAAGCAAAAAAAGCUCAAAACUUUGUGAACCUGAAACAAACAAAAACCGAAAUUUUGAAGAAACUUACGACUAAAAUGGCGGUAAUGGAUUCAUUAACCCAUCGAUUCUCUUCAAGCAAGUGGCCGAUGACUAAACAGAGACAGAGAAUGGCAAUGAACACUGAGAUUGGGAUCACCUGAGGAUGCUCAGCUGCUAGCUUAUUCGUCAAAAACUCUGUUAAUCCAAUACCCAUUUUCUCACAGAAUCUCGAGAAUGUUUUCGAUUUCGUCGAUUUGGGAAUUUUUUAACACACCAAAUCGCAAACAGAGAAGGAUAGAGAGAGGCAGAGAAAGAGUCUGUGUGAGAGAGAGAGAUUUGAACUGCGAUGAACAAGGCGGUGGUUACAGGUGGCGAGGAGACGAGGGACACGUGGCAUGUUUCCAACGUCAUCAGACUGAGUAAACAAAUGUGAGGCUUUUUGGAAUUAUACUGCAUCUUGGGCCUUCUAGGCCCAAAACAAAAAACGUUAUUCGUAAUGUUUUUUUAAUUACCAGAUUUGAAUUGAGGUGUAAUUUGCCUAAUGUUACACUAAACUUGAAUAAAAGAUAGUUAAAUAUUAUUUUUUGGGUCUAACUCGCGUAAAUUAGCGUUAUUUUUCUUAAAAAUUUGGUUUUCUCUUGUUUCUUAAUUUAUUUUUAUAAAAUUAAUUGAAACUUGAAAACCAAUCGAAAUUAAAAGCAUGACCAAUUGCGAGAAGGCAACAUAUACUAAUUGUCAGUCCCGGUUGUUACAGGCUCCAAGACGCAGAACGUGAUCGUUUCGUUUGGUCGUGUUUGGAUGAUGCAAUGAGUCAUAGGACUCAGUGACCAAUUUCGCCACGUGUGAUCUUUUGCGACAAUGUUCUAGUACCUUACCCUACUUUUAAUCGAUCAUCCACCACCGCCAUCUCAACAUUUUUUAAGAUAAUAUAUAUCUAUACUAGAUACAAAAUUAAGACAAUUGUAAAUAUUUAUAACUUGAAAACAUAGAAUUCGGAUAUCAUGUGUGUGUUUCUUAUAUUAGAUAAAUAAAUUGGCUUAUUAUGCUUUCUAAAUCUAUUGUAUUGUUUACUUUUUAAUUUAUAGAAUGGGUAUGGAAUCUCAUAUAUUCAACUAGCUUAAAUCCGAUACGGAAAAAAAUACACUGUUCGUAUGUAUAAAAAUUGCCAUUUCAACACAAAUGAUUGACACGUGUGUAUUGCAACUGCAUGCAUUAUAGACUUUAUAUGCUUAUUUAGCUGGUUUUGGAAACAAGUAGGUCGUAAUAAAGAAAUUAAAAAAAGAGAGAGAGUAGGUCGUAAUAAAUGAAGAACGCAUAACUAUAUUUUAAAAAAUACUCCACUUAAUAUGUAAAACAAUUGUUUGGUUUCUCGAGGUUGGAGAGAACCAAUCAGAAAAUUAUAUUCUCAUUUAAUUGUGAACUAAAAUUUAAAACUUAUUUAAUAAUCCCAACUAUUUUCCUCAAAAUUUAAACUCUUUUUUGCCAACUAAAUUAAAUUAAGAGAUUUAUUUGAAAAAAACAUUUUAGUUGAUGUGUUUCUUUUUAUAGUGGAAGAGUGUGUCAAAAAUGGUCAUUUUGUUUUUUUUUUUUAAAUAAUCAACGAUCAUAUAAAUUCGAAUCCCACAAAGCACAAACCAAAAAGCUCUCUCUCUCUCUCUCUCUCUGAGUAAAUCUCGUUUUUGGUCGAAGUUGGUGAAGUCGCCGCCGGGAUAACUCAGGUUUCUCACCGAUGCGAGAUAAUCCAACAAUGCAUGGCUUACAAGCUUCAAAGUUUCUACUUUUAGCUCUCAUUUUGAUCCAGUUGCUAUCUACUCAACUCUUUGCUCAAAGAUCUAAAAGUCCAUGGCAGACACUCACUGGUUAGUGUCCUCUAUCUUCAUCUCCUUCUAAUUUUCAAUACCCUUCACUGUGAAUCAAGAAAUCAGAAUAAAAGGUGUUUCCUUUUAAAUCCUUUCAUAGAAAUCGAAGAGAAAAAUUUGGGGUUUUUCUGAGUUUCAUCCAAAUAAAAAUCGAAGCUUUUUAAUAUAUGUUGUGUGUUUGUGUUCUGUUUUCAGCGUUUUACCCAUUCAAGGAAAGUUUCCAAUAUCAGGUUUUGUUACUGUUUUUGAAUCAUUUCUUGAUUUGCCAUUUUUGUUUUGUAGGAGAUGCUCCUCGUAUCAUUGCUCGUGGUGGGUUUUCUGGGUUGUUGCCAGAUUCAAGUAUCGAUGCUUAUAGUUUUGUAUCGCAGACUAGUGUUCCUGGUACUCUUCUUUGGUGUGAUGUGCAACUAACGAAAGAUGCAAUUGGGAUUUGCUUCCCUGAUGUCAAAAUGAUGAAUGCUUCUCAUAUUCAAGAUGUUUACCCUAAACGGAAGAAUUCUUACUUGCUUAAUGGAGUCCUUACUCAGGAUUGGUUCACCAUUGAUUUCAACUUCAAGGAUCUGAAUACCGUUUUCUGUAAGUUCAAGCAUCUUUUUUGAGCUUCAGUAUAGGCUAGUGGAUUCUAGUUGUUGAAAGAUCUUAUGUUAAUUAGUUUAUCUAUGUUUUUAGGGGUAAUUUGUCUUGACAUUUGAUCUAACAUAUAUGUUGAAAUUGAGUACGUUUUAGUAUUGUUAGAUUUGAUUGCUGCUGUUCAUUGAGGUGUAAUUUGCUUGUAUUUUCAUACAAAUCAUUUUCACCUGUGCAGUGAAACAAGGAAUAUUAUCGCGGUCAGAUGCAUUCGAAGGAAACAAUUACGCGAUAUCAACAGUUAAAGAUAUAUCUACGCAGUUAAAACCUGAGGGUUUUUGGUUAAAUGUUCAGGUAAUUCUUUUGUCAGUAAGUUGCUUGCUGUUUUCCAUUUUUUGUUGUAGUGAAAGAUCUCAGCUCAUUCUAAUAAGUCUGUUCUUUAUUCAGCACGACGCAUUCUAUGCCCAACACAAUCUGAGCAUGAGCAGCUUUCUGCUAUCAAUUUCCAAAACUGUGAUUAUUGACUAUCUCUCUUCCCCUGAGGUGAAUUUCUUUCGGAACAUUGGUAGCCGUUUUGGACGCAAGGGGCCAAAGUUUGUGUUCAGGUUUCUCGAGAAAGAUGAUGUUGAGGUGUCAACCAACCAAACCUAUGGAUCUCUUGCGGGAAACCUAACUUUUGUCAAGACGUUCGCUUCAGGAAUUCUUGUUCCCAAAUCUUACAUAUGGCCGGUCGAAAGCCAAUACUUGCUUCCCCAUACAUCCUUUGUUCAAGAUGCUCACAAAGCAGGAUUAGAAGUAUAUGCAUCAGGUUUUGCAAACGACUUUGAUCUUGCAUACAACUACAGUUUUGAUCCAUUGGCCGAGUACUUAUCUUUCGUGGACAAUGGAGAUUUCUCUGUGGAUGGCGUGCUCUCUGAUUUUCCACUAACAGCAUCUUCAGCUGUUGGUAAGUAAAUCUCUUCUUCUGGAUCACAUAUAUAUUUGACCUAUUUCUGCUAAAAACUACAACUACACAAGUGAAACUAUUUUUCACUUUUCCUUUAAACUUUUCUUGUUCCUCAGACUGCUUCUCCCAUCUUGGAAGUAAUGCUUCAUCACAAGGUAUGUGGGUUAUUCAUAUGCGUUUUACUGGCUACAUUAUUGAUGCCAUGUCACAAUUACUAACGGUAUAAAUUUUUAAUCUUUUGUAUGGUUCAUGUCAUGCACAGUGGAUUUUCUUGUUAUAUCCAAAAAUGGAGCAAGUGGAGACUACCCUGGCUGUACUGACUUGGCCUAUACAAAGGCAAUCAAAGAUGGUGCUGAUGUUAUUGAUUGUUCUCUUCAAAUGUCAUCAGACGGGAUUCCGUUUUGCUUAAGUUCAAUUAAUCUUGGGGAUAGCACAAACGUUGUCCAAAGUCCUUUCAGAAACCGUUCUACAGCUGUUCCUGAGAUCGGCUCACUUCCUGGAAUAUACAGCUUUAGUCUGGCAUGGUCUGAGAUUCAGACGUUGAGACGUAAGUUUCUCCCAUAUUUUUUUAAGACUAUCUACUCCUUUUGGCAUUCUUACUCUAGGCAGUGUGUUGUGCUGGUAGGAUCCUUGAAACCUUUUUUAUGGUGAUAAGAAAUAAGGGAAAAGAGAAGCUCCAAAAGUGUUCUUACGAUAACCGAGUUGUUAGCUGCACGAUGAUUCUUUCAGGGUGUCCAUGGCAGAUACUAAUUAUACUUCUAGUUAUUUAGAGGCUACCAAUAGAUGCAAAAUAUCGUUUUGUUGCAACUUUAUGUCCCUUGAUAAUAGUUAUGUAAUCCGUCUUGAUAUCUGUUGAUGUAUAUGCUUCUAUCUCAAAACCGGUUUUAGCUAUUUAAAUGUCAUUGAUUAUGCUUUUCCCCCCAUCUGUUUGCAGCUGCUAUUGAAAACCCCUACAGCAGGGAAUUCACUUUGUUUAGGAAUCCAAGGGAGAAAAGUUCCGGGAAGUUUGUUACGCUUUCUGAUUUCUUGAACUUGGCAAAAAACUCCAGCUCUCUAGCCGGUGUUUUGAUCAGCGUGGAGGUGAGAUUUUUUUCCAUCAUUAGAAAAAACUGAUCUUUGUCAUUUCUUUUGAUGGUUACAACGAGUAUGAUUUGUUUUCCUUCAGAAUGCAACAUACCUGAGAGAGAAGCAAGGGCUCGACGCUGUUAAGGCAGUUCUCGAUACACUCACAGAAGCUGGUUACAGCAACAAGACAACAACCACAAGGGUUAUGAUUCAGUCAACUAACAGUUCAGUCUUAGUUGAAUUCAAGAAACAGAGCCGGUAUGAGACAGUGUACAAAGUCGAAGAAGUCAUCCGCGACAUCCUCGACUCUGCAAUCGAAGACAUUAAGAAAUUUGCGGAUGCUGUUGUCAUUAGAAAAACAUCAGUCUUCCCCACCAGCGAAAGUUUCACCACUGGACAAACUAAACUAGUGGAGAGGCUGCAGAAGUUUCAGCUUCCCGUUUACGUAGAAGUGUUCCGGAACGAGUUUGUUUCUCAACCAUGGGAUUUCUUCGCUGAUGCAACUGUCGAGAUUAACUCGCAUGUUACUGGAGCUGGUAUCAAUGGAACAAUCACUGACUUCCCUCUCACAGCCGCGAGAUACAAAAGUAAAGUGAAAAAAGACAAAAGGUUUUCUGUUUUCAUAACAUUUUAGAAUUUUGAUUGUUUUGAUGUUCCUUCUCAGGGAACUCGUGCUUGACCCGCAAAGACCCGCCUCCUUACAUGAUACCAGUUCAGCCUGCUGGCCUCUUAACCAUCGUGAGUCCCGCUUCUUUACCUCCAGCCGAAGCACCAAACCCAGUAAUCACAGAUGCUGAUGUCACUGAACCACCAUUACCUCCAGUCACAGCCAGAGCCCCAACCACCACCCCUGGACCUCAAUCAACAGGUGAAAAGACUCCCAACGGACAAACCCGAGUCGCUCAAUCUCUUCUUCUUUCUGCAUUUGCUACGGUUUUUGCCUCUCUUCUACUUGUGUGAUCGCAUUGAUCCUGUCACCCGCGCCAGUAGAAUUUCUUUGUGAGAUUGAUUGAGUCCUCAGGAAAUUUUUUUCCUCCUAACAGUUCUUGAGAUUCUUUGCAGUGAUGAGUUUCUGUUGGGGUUUUGUCUGUUCAUAUUCUUCGUUAUCUUUGUUAGUUUCUGGCCAAAGAAGUAAAUUCUUGGACGUAAAUUUGUAUCAUGGGGAUUCAUUUGUUGUUGUAACAUUAAUCACUGUAAUCUUCUUUUAAUCUCUUGUGUGUUGUGUACUUGUAGUAGUACUUGUGAGACUUUUAUGUUUUCUGAAUGCCUUCAACUAUUUUAAUCUGAAAGGAUAAUUUUACAUUAUGCAAGAGAAUAUAAAAACAUACUAAUAUAUUACAUGUCAUUAUUAACAUAACAAAAUUGGUGUCUUGUCCUAAUCCUGAAAAAGUGAUGUCUAAUCGUAAUAAUUGGGCUUUUACUUUAGACUACUUAAGGAUCCAAAUUAAAUAAAAUGGGCUUUUAGUCGGAAGACCAAAUAGUGAAAUUCAAUAACUUUCUUCAGAUCUUUCGAUGAAGCUCUCGGGACUGGGCUUAACAACGAAGACAGAGAUCUUGUGGGGAUAUUUCUUGGUGAUCAUCGGUUCUGUUUCCUUCUUCGGAUUCGUCAUUGCAGCCAUGUCGUCGAAUGAUAGGCACUACUUCUUCUUGGUUCCAUUGACUCUACCAGUUAUUAUUGUUGCUGUCUACUUUCAUUGGCUUAGCAUGAAGCUAUUCAAGCACGCCUGAUACAUCCAUUUUUGAGAUUCUAUUUUGUGAGUUCAAUUUCACAUUCUUGACAAAUUCAUUCAUUACUGGGUAACAGAGAAGCUAUGGGAUACAUUAUUGCAAAAAACUAUACCAUAUAAUUAUAGUUUUGAUCCACUGGCUGGGAACAAUGUAAAGUUUCCCUAGAUACAACCAAAUAAUAUAUAAUAUCAUGUAAUAAUAAAACUAAUGUAGUUUCAACUUGAGUGAAAGAUUUGCUGGCUAUCGUGGACGGAAAUUAUACAAUCUUCUAGUCAUUGAUGAAGUAGUAACCGGAUUGUCCUUGAUCACUAGUGGAAUUUUGUAAUCAGGAUCUCCAAGAUUGUCAUCAUCAUCUGUUAAAUCUGUAUCAACCCAAGAUGUCCAAUCUACCUCGCUCUCUGUAUCUUCAUCGUACGAGAGAUCUUUAUUGCUUUGCAUGCCAUUAACCUUAUCAACUAAUCUUAACAAGAUUUGAUGGUUUAGUACUUCAUAGUCCCUGCAUUUUUAGACAAGAGGGUAUAUAUGUAUAUCAUCUUUUGAGUUUUGGUUAAUCAAAACAUAUAGUAUAUUUUUUUGCGUUUUGGUCAUACCUGUAUGAAAAAGCAGCAUGAAGAAGCUGAGCUGAAGCAAGAAGAGCAAAUAAAGACCUGAUUAGGUUUAUAAUCCAUGCUUGGCGUUCUGUAUCAUUCACGUAUCGCAAACUUGCCACUUCUAAUGCCAGAGUAACGCACAAACCUGCAUUAGCGUAAGGGAAAAUGUCUGUUAAACUAAUGGAAUUUAGUGUCAUGAAUAUGGUAUGAGAUAGAGAUUUGGAAUAUGGUGGUCACUUACCAAUGUAAAGCCUUGGCCUUAUGAUAUAAGUUUGUUUUGUACUUGUAAACAUGUAGAUGACAAAGAUUGACAAGAAGUAGAUGACGAAGGCUUUUAUCACUCGGGACUCGAGAAGCAUCGCAUUGUGCAGAGCAAACAGCUUAUCCAAAGCUACAAACAUGUUUGCUUGUUUCGCCUCAAACGCUUCCUGCAAAAACAGAUUGUUAUAUAACGUUGUUUUAUGUGAUCUUGAAUUUUGUUAAGGUUUAGAGGACUGACCUGAGCUUCUAACAUUGAUUUUGAAUUUUCAAACAAGUGAUCAUGAACCUCCUGAAGCUUUUCUUGCCGCUUUGCAAGAUCUUCCUGUUGCUCCUGACUAAAUUCCUUCAAACGUUGCAAGGUAUUCCUACAAUGUUGCAGCGAAAACAGAACACGGUUAGAUCUUGGAGAAAAGUGUCUUGCCUUUGAAUUUAAACUGAUCAUAUGUAUUUGAAAAUAUUACCUACUCUCUUGCAGUGCCUCAGACUGAAACCGAGUAAGAAACUGAAUACCGUCAAGAGCCACAGAUUGCCCGUCUAAAAGCUUCUGUUGUUUUUCCAACGAACUACCAGCCUUAAUUCCGAUGUCUUCGGUUGUACUCUGCAAAUCUACCAUUUUGGUUGAUAGGUUAUUUCCAAGUACACUUAUUUCCACCUCAAUCUGCUUAGUAUCGCUUUUCAACUUAUCUACUCCUUCUUGGAUGUUAGUAUACGCAUCGCUGAACAUCUCCAUUCCAUCUUUCAACGUUUCUUUCAUCUUCACUUGACCGUCCAUUAGCGCAAGCUGUGAUUCUGCAAUGUUCUUUUGUUCUUGAGAGAUUUCUAUAGUUUGUUGAGACAGUCCACUCACACUAGUUUCUAAGGUGUUUGCCACAUGAGCCACGUUUUGAACCCGGACAUCUAGUGAACCUAAAGAAUCAUGAAUCAUGCUCGAGGUCUGUAUUAAAGAAUCAGAUUUACUCUCCAAGAUAUCCAAUUUAUCUUCUGUAUUCUGAGCUGUACUCUUGAGUUCAUUCACAAGCCUCUCUAUCUCAUGCUUGAAUGCAUAACUCCUGCCAUACAAAAAAAAAGAAGCAAAUUGAGAAACCAUUUCGCAAACAAAAGUGAUAAAAGCUAG